AGACCCGAAACCCGGUGAUCUAGCCAUGGGCAGGUUGAAGGUUGGGUAACACUAACUGGAGGACCGAACCGACUAAUGUUGAAAAAUUAGCGGAUGACCUGUGGCUGGGGGUGAAAGGCCAAUCAAACCGGGAGAUAGCUGGUUCUCCCCGAAAGCUAUUUAGGUAGCGCCUCGUGAAUUCAUCUCCGGGGGUAGAGCACUGUUUCGGCUAGGGGGCCAUCCCGGCUUACCAACCCGAUGCAAACUGCGAAUACCGGAGAAUGUUAUCACGGGAGACACACGGCGGGUGCUAACGUCCGUCGUGAAGAGGGAAACAACCCAGACCGCCAGCUAAGGUCCCAAAGUCAUGGUUAAGUGGGAAACGAUGUGGGAAGGCCCAGACAGCCAGGAUGUUGGCUUAGAAGCAGCCAUCAUUUAAAGAAAGCGUAAUAGCUCACUGGUCGAGUCGGCCUGCGCGGAAGAUGUAACGGGGCUAAACCAUGCACCGAAGCUGCGGCAGCGAACGUAUCACUUAAAGCGAUUCAGCGGGUUACGAUUGACGAAGCGAAGCGACGUCAAAGCGUAUACAAAGUCGAGUCGGUUUAAGGAUACGUUCGUUGGGUAGGGGAGCGUUCUGUAAGCCUGUGAAGGUGUGUCGUGAGGCAUGCUGGAGGUAUCAGAAGUGCGAAUGCUGACAUAAGUAACGAUAAAGCGGGUGAAAAGCCCGCUCGCCGGAAGACCAAGGGUUCCUGUCCAACGUUAAUCGGGGCAGGGUGAGUCGACCCCUAAGGCGAGGCCGAAAGGCGUAGUCGAUGGGAAACGGGUUAAUAUUCCCGUACUUGGUGUUACUGCGAAGGGGGGACGGAGAAGGCUAUGUUGGCCGGGCGACGGUUGUCCCGGUUUAAGCGUGUAGGUGUGUGUUCCAGGUAAAUCCGGUUCACUUUAACACUGAGGCGUGACGACGAGGCACUACGGUGCUGAAGCAACAAAUGCCCUGCUUCCAGGAAAAGCCUCUAAGCAUCAGGUAACAUCAAAUCGUACCCCAAACCGACACAGGUGGUCAGGUAGAGAAUACCAAGGCGCUUGAGAGAACUCGGGUGAAGGAACUAGGCAAAAUGGUGCCGUAACUUCGGGAGAAGGCACGCUGACAC
rnacentral:rRNA from 1 species